GGAUGACAUGGAGGGUGCAAGCGUUACCCGGAAUCACUGGGCGUAAAGGGCGUGUAGGCGGAAAUUUAAGUCUGGUUUUAAAGACCGGGGCUCAACCUCGGGGAUGGACUGGAUACUGGAUUUCUUGACCUCUGGAGAGGUAACUGGAAUUCCUGGUGUAGCGGUGGAAUGCGUAGAUACCGGGAGGAACACCAAUGGCGAAGGCAAGUUACUGGACAGAAGGUGACGCUGAGGCGCGAAAGUGUGGGGA
rnacentral:rRNA from 1 species